AAUGAACGCUGGCGGCAGGCCUAAAACAUGCAAGUCGCACGCCCUAGCAAUAGGGAGUGGCGCACGGGUGAGUAACAUGUGGGAAUAUGCCUUUUGGUACGGAACAACGUUUGGAAACGAACGCUAAUACCGUAUGGUCCCUCCGGGGUAAAGAUUUAUCGCCAAAAGAUUAGCCCGCACGAGAUUAGCAAGUUGGUAAGGUAAUGGCUUACCAACGCGACGAUCUAUAGCUGUUAUGAGAGGAAGAGCAGCCACACUGGGACUGAGACACGGCCCAGACUCCUACGGGAGGCAGCAGUUAGGAAUAUUGGACAAUGGGCGCAAGCCUGAUCAAGCCAUGCCGCGUGAGUGAUGAAGGCCUUCGGGUUGUAAAGCUCUUUAGCCGACGAAUAUAAUGACUGUAGUCGGAGAAUAAGCCCCGGCUAACUUCGUGCCAGCCGCCGCAGUAACAC
rnacentral:rRNA from 1 species